GGCGGAUGUAGCCAAGUGGAUUAAGGCAGUGGAUU
rnacentral:tRNA from 2 species